rnacentral:lncRNA from 1 species
CGCCGACGCUGACCGAGGACAGGAGACAAGACGAGACACCGAGUGGCCGCCGGCGCCGCCGCCGCCGCCCCCGGGGGAGAGGCAGUUAAGUCUAGUAGAAUAUCAGACUGGGAAUACUAGACUGCCCCACUGCCAUUCACUCCAUUUAUCUGUAUCCCUUUCUGAGCUAAUACUGAGAAAUGAUUUGGAAGGAGCCUGGGACUGAAAGCUGUGGUGACUAGUAUGGAUU